AUGUGUGUCAGCGGACCUGUCAUCCCAAGGAAAGGACCCGCACGGCCCGGUUGCGCCGGGGACAAUGGUGACCUGGACAAAACCCACACGGUGUCGUUGUGGCCAAAUAUAUGUCAUUUCAGAAACGCUGAUCAAAACCAGAAUCUUAAAAAAAAAAAUCAUGGAAUAAGAGCAAGCAUCCUUGCCCAGAGGGCGAAGUCCACAGAACACACUGCCUCGUGGGUGAGUGGGCGAGCCCGGCCCUUCUCCGUCGCAGGCUCCGGCGCUGGCAUGGGAGUGACUGAUCCUGGUCCUGGCACUCUGCCAUCGUCUUCCUCCUCGACAUGGGUGCCACUGGAAUCCUUCGUCACUUCUCACGUUUGCCCAAGGUCGAUGCAAGUGGCCAAAGUCCACACCAAAAUGAAGAGGAUGCUCCUCUCCAGACAUGGACAUACGGUCACACAGAGCGCCUGUGCGUGAAACCGGAAACAGCGAACCUUGUCUCCUCUCUGCUGUGAGCUCACAAGGGAGACUGCUCCUUGCUGCUCUGCUCUGUGCCGCGGGUGGCUCCUCCCACCCACCCCAGCAGCUGCAGGCCUGGGACAGGACCCACCACAUCCCACGGAGAGGUCACCGCUGAUGACCUCGCCUCCUUUCUGAAAUGCUCCUUAGUGUACACACCUCCGUGUCCAUCAAACCGGAGUUCUGCUGGAAAGCCAAAAUAACAACACGGCCCCAAGGACAGAGCUCAGAGCCUUUGGAAGCUUUUUGCAAUUCUUAUGCACACGAAAAUGCGCCCAUUACGUGUCUCCAGGCCCCUUCCUCCACUCCCAAGAUAAGAGCUCGGUAAUGAAGGAAACGUGACGAGUUCAGCCGCUGCUAACGGACGGGCCAGGUGCAGACGGCAGAUUUCCACGUUAAUGAGCAUCUUCUAGGAGUCAGAUGAAGCGAACGCUGACGGACGCUCCGGGAAGCGCUCCCAGGGUGUCCGUCCAUCUCCUGCCAAGCGCCAGCCAGAGACAGCGGUCCCCUCGGGUCCCGGACGAGGCUGUCAAUCUACUGCUCGUCCCAAUGCCAGCAGCUACGGGAAGUGUGCGAAAUGCGGGUGUGCAAAGUGUUUUCCGCCUCCGCCGCCCUCCUGCUUUGUGUGGUUGCCAAGUCGGAGGAGAAAAGAGGGAGCCGCUCACCUACUCACGCCGCUUUCGUCAACGGCCCUGGUGUUCUCCGCGCGGAGAGCCAGCGCCUCUCUAACCAAGAGACAGAAGAGCGGCCCUCGCAGCCUGCCCUCCCAGGCCCGCCUCCUGGGACGCGCUCCGUCACUCUCCAAGGCUGCCCAGAGUUGGUUCUAUACAAGUUCUUCUGAGAGCAGAAGCCAGCCGCAGGCAGCGGUCAGGACGCCACCCAGAGCCGGCAUCCCACAGCAGAGUCUGGGUUCAGGUCCUGGCUCUGCUGCUCACUCCAGCGUCCUGCCAGCAUGCAU
rnacentral:lncRNA from 1 species